rnacentral:rRNA from 1 species
AGUGAACGCUGGCGGUAUGCCUAACACAUGCAAGUCGAACGGCAGCACAGUAAGAUCUUGCUCUUACCGUUAGCGAGUGGCGGGUGGGUGAGGAGUACAUCGGCUUCUUCUUUUUCGUGGGGGAUAACGUAGGGCCACUUACGCUAAUACCGAAUACGUCCUACGGGUGAAAGCAGGGGAUCUUCGCACCUUGCGCGUUUGAUUGAGCCGGAGUCGGAUUAGCUAGUUGGCGGGGUAAGGGCCCACCAAGGCGACGAUCCGUAGCUGAUCUGAGAGGAUGAUCAGCCACACUGGAACUGAGACACGGUCCAGACUCCUACGGGAGGCAGCAGUAGGGAAUAUUGGACAAUGGGCGAAAGCCUGACCCAGCAAUACCGCGUGGGUGAAGAAGGCCUUCGGAUUGUAAAGCCCUGUUGUUGGGAAAGAAGAGAAGCAUGUGAAUCCACCGCUGUUUUGACGGUACCCAAACAAUAAGCACCGGCUAACUUCGUG